rnacentral:rRNA from 1 species
CUCAAAGAUUAAGCCAUGCAAGUGGUUAUAUAUUAACCCGACAGUUUAAAUAAGUGUUAAAGUGCUAUACACACUCACACGUGAUAAUCACAUACAUCACUUACGCAACUGCAGACAGCUGCUUAAUACAGUCACACUUGUCUUGACUUGGCACCCUACACACGGAUAACUCAGGGAAAGUUUGGCUAAUACGUACGACACACACACACACACAUGACAUUACUCAGCACUCAAUGGUUAGCUUAGCAGGCAACAUGAGAGACAUUGAGCACGCACUGAUAUCAUACACUGUAUCACGCUGAGCAGACUUUGCGAAGUUUACUUCUGCGAAGCAUGUCAUACAAGCAUCUACAGCAUCAAGUCACAGGGUUGGCAAGUGUAUUUUUGAACCUUCAAAGCAGUCACGCAUACGGAGGAGUAGUUUCUGAUCCCAUAGAAGGAGCACCGUACAAUGAGAGACCGCUCUUAGUUCUAAGGAACGCAGCAGGCGCGUAAAUUGCCCAAUGGUAACACAUUUAUCUGUCACGCACACACACACACAUCCUUGUCACGUACUGAGGCAGUGACAAGCUGUAACGGUUGAGUAUAAAAUAUGACGAGUGUCUGGCAUUGCCGCUCCUUCUGGGAGCUUGGCAUUAUUGCCGACGCUUUGUAUGCUCAAUUGGAAUGCGGUGAGUUUAAGCAACUCAGAACCUUUGUACAUAUCACAUGUGCAUANNNNNNNNNNNNNNNNNNNNNNNNNNNNNNNNNNNNNNNNNNNNNNNNNNNNNNNNNNNNNNNNNNNNNNNNNNNNNNNNNNNNNNNNNNNNNNNNNNNNUUACUGAAUGUGCAUUGAAUGUCUAUCAUGGGAUGGUGCACUAUUCAGCCCGUUGAACACACACACACAAUAAUUCUCAGUCACACAACGGUUAUGAAUGUCGAUGGAGAUAGUGGAGUCAACAGUACUGCUGGGCGAGAGGUGAAAUUCAUUGACCCUAGCAAGACUACCAAAAGCGAAAGCAGUUGGCUAGGCUAUACUCUUUGUGUCUCACUCACACACACACACACACUCACACAUACACACACAGAGUGAUCGACACUUUACAAUGAAGAACGAAGGUUGGGGGAUCAAAGAGGAUCAGAUACCCUCGUCGUCCCAUUAAUUACAUCAAACGAUGGGCUCUCAAUUGCAUUCUUUUUAUAAGAUUGCAAGCACUCCUCAACCUACAAAAUGACUUGGCUUGAGCCUGUAACUUUUGUUGUUACGCUCGCCAGACUAUUUUCGUACGGUCUCGAUGGACGUUUCAUUUUAUUAUCUAUGCGUGUAAGCAUUUGUAUGUAUCACACAUACUGCGUGCACUUGAUUUUCGGAGCUUUGCGCUCAAAUUCUGGUGAGAUGUAAGCACUAUGUUUAUCUGUUAACCGCAGUAUGAACAAUAUUUGGUGUGACGCACGCUUUAGGCACGCGCUUACUGCAGAAAUGUCUGAGACAUUGAUUUCCGGGGGUAGUAUGCACGCAAGUGUGAAACUUGAAGGAAUUGACGGAAGGGCACCACAAGAACGCGUGGAGCAUGUGGCUUAAUUUGACUCAACGCGGGAAAUCUUACCGGGUCCGGACACACUGAGGAUUGACAGGUGUUAUCCCACAUAAUCAGUGGGUGUUAAAUAUGCUAGUCCUUUCAUGAUUAUGUGAUAGGUGGUGCAUGGCCGUUCUUAGUUUGUGGAGUGAUCUGUCUGCUUAAUUGCGUUUCACUGAAGGCUCAUAUUAUAUGCACGGCAUUCUUUGACCCCUCAUUAAUAAUGAGCGUUGUGUCUUAGUCUUUUGCUUAGCAUCUGGGCCUUGGAAGCAACGAACGUGACCGCAACCUCUUGUUGCCUCUCAUAACCAUAUAAAAGAGGCCUAUUUAAAUAAACUAGAGGGACCGCUGUUACUUUCUUAAACCAGAGGAAGGUUGCGGCAAUAACAGGUCUGUGAUGCCCUUAGAUGUUCCGGGCUGCACACGUGCUACAAUGAUUAUUGCAGUGAGCAUCUCAUACACAUACACACCGCAUGCGCGAGUCCACUUUUUCACGAAGGUGUGUGUCUCUGCGCGCGGUAAAGCCUGCUUCGAAAGUAAGUGGGUAAUCAAUUAGAAGUAAUGAUUUCCAUACAGCACACAUAUAUACGGCAUCUUUACCCGGCCUGCCUUGUUGCAGGUUUCUUGUGUGUAUUGAUGUUUUUUCCGUAUGUGCGAUUGUCAAUUCAUGGUGGGGACAGACCAUUGUUAAUUGUUGGUCUCGGUCUUAACUAGGAAUGCCUUGUACGGUCUUUGGUUCAACAAACCACCCGGAAUACGUCCCUGCCCUUUGUACACACCGCCCGUCGCUCUUACCGAUGGACUUCUCUGUGAGUUUGAGGGACUGGGAACGCAUAUCUCUAUAUGCACACCUAUGGAAACUUAAACGAACAGUGUGGUCUAAAGGAAAGAGAAGUCGUAACAAGGCAUCGGUAGGUGAACC